rnacentral:lncRNA from 1 species
AGUUAUCCUUUCACUUUUUUUGUUGGCAGCUUUUUAAUAAAUUAAUAACUACACACUAAAAUUGAAAAUUAUUUUUAUAAAAAAAUAGGAGAAAAACACUCGAGUCCAAACGUAUCUUCCCUUUAGUUAAAUUUGUUGUUAUUAAAAUCAAGGAAAAGAUUCCUCUACUUUCUAAGUUGCCGUCUUUUACUCCAUAACUACCACCCACAAUU